UAGGGAAUCUUGCGCAAUGGGCGAAAGCCUGACGCAGCCAUGCCGCGUGAAUGAUGAAGGUCUUAGGAUUGUAAAAUUCUUUCACCGGGGAAGAUAAUGACGGUACCCGGAGAAGAAGCCCCGGCUAACUUCGUGCCAGCAGCCGCGGUAAUACGAAGGGGGCUAGCGUUGCUCGGAAUUACUGGGCGUAAAGGGCGCGUAGGCGGAUAUUUAAGUUGGGGGUGAAAGCCCGGAGCUCAACCUCGGAAUAGCCUUCAAUACUGGAUAUCUUGAGUUCGGGAGAGGUGAGUGGAAUGCCGAGUGUAGAGGUGAAAUUCGUAGAUAUUCGGCGGAACACCAGUGGCGAAGGCGACUCACUGGCCCGAUACUGACGCUGAGGCGCGAAAGCGUGGGGAGCAAACAGGAUUAGAUACCCUGGUAGUCCACGCCGUAAACGAUGAGUGCUAGUUGUCGGCAUGCAUGCAUGUCGGUGACGCAGCUAACGCAUUAAGCACUCCGCCUGGGGAGUACGGUCGCAAGAUUAAAACUCAAAUGAAUUGACGGGGUCAUAGCUGUUUUCUG
rnacentral:rRNA from 1 species